CCCGGGUGUGCCUCAGCUAGCGGCGAGUGAGCGGCAAAAGCUCAAAUUUGAAAUCUGGCGUCUUUGGCGUCCGAGUUGUAAUUUGAAGAAGGUAUCUUUGGGCCCGGCUCUUGUCUAUGUUCCUUGGAACAGGACGUCACAGAGGGUGAGAAUCCCGUGCGAUGAGAUGACCCGGGUCUGUGUAAAGUUCCUUCGACGAGUCGAGUUGUUUGGGAAUGCAGCUCUAAGUGGGUGGUAAAUUCCAUCUAAAGCUAAAUAUUGGCGAGAGACCGAUAGCGAACAAGUACAGUGAUGGAAAGAUGAAAAGAACUUUGAAAAGAGAGUGAAAAAGUACGUGAAAUUGUUGAAAGGGAAGGGCUUGAGAUCAGACUUGGUAUUUUGCAUGCUGCUCUCUCGGGGGCGGCCGCUGCGGUUUACCGGGCCAGCAUCGGUUUGGAGCGGCAGGAUAAUGGCGGAGGAAUGUGGCACGGCUUCUGCUGUGUGUUAUAGCCUCUGACGAUACUGCCAGCCUAGACCGAGGACUGCGGUUUUUACCUAGGAUGUUGGCAUAAUGAUCUUAAGUCGCCCGUCUUAAACCCGAACC
rnacentral:rRNA from 1 species